UUAAGCGACUAAGCGUACACGGUGGAUGCCCUGGCAGUCAGAGGCGAUGAAGGACGUGCUAAUCUGCGAUAAGCGUCGGUGAGGUGAUAUGAACCGUUAUAACCGGCGAUUUCCGAAUGGGGAAACCCAGUGUGUUUCGACACACUAUCAUUAACUGAAUCCAUAGGUUAAUGAGGCGAACCGGGGGAACUGAAACAUCUAAGUACCCCGAGGAAAAGAAAUCAACCGAGAUUCCCCCAGUAGCGGCGAGCGAACGGGGAGGAGCCCAGAGCCUGAAUCAGUGUGUGUGUUAGUGGAAGCGUCUGGAAAGGCGUGCGAUACAGGGUGACAGCCCCGUACACAAAAAUGCACAUAUUGUGAGCUCGAUGAGUAGGGCGGGACACGUGGUAUCCUGUCUGAAUAUGGGGGGACCAUCCUCCAAGGCUAAAUACUCCUGACUGACCGAUAGUGAACCAGUACCGUGAGGGAAAGGCGAAAAGAACCCCGGCGAGGGGAGUGAAAAAGAACCUGAAACCGUGUACGUACAAGCAGUGGGAGCCUCUUAAUGGGGUGACUGCGUACCUUUUGUAUAAUGGGUCAGCGACUUAUAUUCUGUAGCAAGGUUAACCGAAUAGGGGAGCCGAAGGGAAACCGAGUCUUAACUGGGCGUUAAGUUGCAGGGUAUAGACCCGAAACCCGGUGAUCUAGCCAUGGGCAGGUUGAAGGUUGGGUAACACUAACUGGAGGACCGAACCGACUAAUGUUGAAAAAUUAGCGGAUGACUUGUGGCUGGGGGGGAAAGGCCAAUCAAACCGGGAGAUAGCUGGUUCUCCCCGAAAGCUAUUUAGGUAGCGCCUCGUGAAUUCAUCUCCGGGGGUAGAGCACUGUUUCGGCAAGGGGGUCAUCCCGACUUACCAACCCGAUGCAAACUGCGAAUACCGGAGAAUGUUAUCACGGGAGACACACGGCGGGUGCUAACGUCCGUCGUGAAGAGGGAAACAACCCAGACCGCCAGCUAAGGUCCCAAAGUCAUGGUUAAGUGGGAAACGAUGUGGGAAGGCCCAGACAGCCAGGAUGUUGGCUUAGAAGCAGCCAUCAUUUAAAGAAAGCGUAAUAGCUCACUGGUCGAGUCGGCCUGCGCGGAAGAUGUAACGGGGCUAAACCAUGCACCGAAGCUGCGGCAGCGACACUAUGUGUUGUUGGGUAGGGGAGCGUUCUGUAAGCCUGUGAAGGUGGCCUGUGAGGGUUGCUGGAGGUAUCAGAAGUGCGAAUGCUGACAUAAGUAACGAUAAAGCGGGUGAAAAGCCCGCUCGCCGGAAGACCAAGGGUUCCUGUCCAACGUUAAUCGGGGCAGGGUGAGUCGACCCCUAAGGCGAGGCCGAAAGGCGUAGUCGAUGGGAAACAGGUUAAUAUUCCUGUACUUGGUGUUACUGCGAAGGGGGGACGGAGAAGGCUAUGUUGGCCGGGCGACGGUUGUCCCGGUUUAAGCGUGUAGGCUGGUUUUCCAGGCAAAUCCGGAAAACCAAGGCUGAGGCGUGAUGACGAGGCACUACGGUGCUGAAGCGACAAAUGCCCUGCUUCCAGGAAAAGCCUCUAAGCAUCAGGUAACAUCAAAUCGUACCCCAAACCGACACAGGUGGUCAGGUAGAGAAUACCAAGGCGCUUGAGAGAACUCGGGUGAAGGAACUAGGCAAAAUGGUGCCGUAACUUCGGGAGAAGGCACGCUGAUAUGUAGGUGAAGCGACUUGCUCGUGGAGCUGAAAUCAGUCGAAGAUACCAGCUGGCUGCAACUGUUUAUUAAAAACACAGCACUGUGCAAACACGAAAGUGGACGUAUACGGUGUGACGCCUGCCCGGUGCCGGAAGGUUAAUUGAUGGGGUUAGCGGCAACGCGAAGCUCUUGAUCGAAGCCCCGGUAAACGGCGGCCGUAACUAUAACGGUCCUAAGGUAGCGAAAUUCCUUGUCGGGUAAGUUCCGACCUGCACGAAUGGCGUAAUGAUGGCCAGGCUGUCUCCACCCGAGACUCAGUGAAAUUGAACUCGCUGUGAAGAUGCAGUGUACCCGCGGCAAGACGGAAAGACCCCGUGAACCUUUACUAUAGCUUGACACUGAACAUUGAGCCUUGAUGUGUAGGAUAGGUGGGAGGCUUUGAAGUGUGGACGCCAGUCUGCAUGGAGCCGACCUUGAAAUACCACCCUUUAAUGUUUGAUGUUCUAACGUUGGCCCGUAAUCCGGGUUGCGGACAGUGUCUGGUGGGUAGUUUGACUGGGGCGGUCUCCUCCUAAAGAGUAACGGAGGAGCACGAAGGUUGGCUAAUCCUGGUCGGACAUCAGGAGGUUAGUGCAAUGGCAUAAGCCAGCUUGACUGCGAGCGUGACGGCGCGAGCAGGUGCGAAAGCAGGUCAUAGUGAUCCGGUGGUUCUGAAUGGAAGGGCCAUCGCUCAACGGAUAAAAGGUACUCCGGGGAUAACAGGCUGAUACCGCCCAAGAGUUCAUAUCGACGGCGGUGUUUGGCACCUCGAUGUCGGCUCAUCACAUCCUGGGGCUGAAGUAGGUCCCAAGGGUAUGGCUGUUCGCCAUUUAAAGUGGUACGCGAGCUGGGUUUAGAACGUCGUGAGACAGUUCGGUCCCUAUCUGCCGUGGGCGCUGGAGAACUGAGGGGGGCUGCUCCUAGUACGAGAGGACCGGAGUGGACGCAUCACUGGUGUUCGGGUUGUCAUGCCAAUGGCACUGCCCGGUAGCUAAAUGCGGAAGAGAUAAGUGCUGAAAGCAUCUAAGCACGAAACUUGCCCCGAGAUGAGUUCUCCCUGACUCCUUGAGAGUCCUGAAGGAACGUUGAAGACGACGACGUUGAUAGGCCGGGUGUGUAAGCGCAGCGAUGCGUUGAGCUAACCGGUACUAAUGAACCGUGAGGCUUAACCUU
rnacentral:rRNA from 3 species